AGAAAGUCCUAAAAAGAUCCAUGUCUUAUCUCUAAUCAAAGCCUUUAUGAGGCAGACCUUGAUUACCAUGGCUUUGACACAAGGUUGGCAAAGACAUAGGUAAAUAAAGAAACCUCUUAGGUGUUAAGACUCUUUGGCCCAGUAAUUUUACUUGCAAAAGUCUGCCCUAAGGAAAUAAUCCAAGAUAUGGAAAUCAAGAGAUAUGGAAAGGAAGUUUAUGUAUAAUGAUAUUUAUCCUAAAGCUAAUCAUAAUAGUAAGAAUUUGAAAACAAUCUGUAAGUCUCACAAUAGCAAUAACUAAUGCUUAUUAGGGUUUUAAUUGAUAUAAAACAUGGUACUGAGUUUCGAGAUAUGAACUAUCUAAUUAAGCCUCAAAUGUGAAGCACUGCUAUUAACCAAUUUUACAAAUGAGGAAACUGAGUCAUAGAAGGGUUAAACAAUUUGCCAGAACCAUACUCCUCCAACUAGUGGAUGCAGGACUUUGACCGAGUUUCAUUUGAGUUCACAGUUGGUGUUUGAAACUACCAUGGUGUACAGUUUCUCAGUAUGACUAUAACUGAAAAAAUUCAGUAUAAACGUGAUAAAAUCUCAAAUAUC
rnacentral:lncRNA from 1 species